rnacentral:misc_RNA from 1 species
UGAAAAUUCACAGAUCUCAUAGUGAAAUUUCAUCAUAACUAGCAUAGCAGAGCACCAUAGGAUACAUAAUAUCUUUAUAUAUGAAGCCACAAUGAAUAUACUACAAGGACUCAACUUUUCCCUGAGUCAGUGAGACCUGGCAAUCCCUUCUUUCCAUCCUCUUUGACGAGCUCUCGACUCCCACAUAGCUGUCAAUUUCUUUUGUGCUGCUAAUGCAGCUUCAGCUUUUUCCCUUGCUUCUUCACAGGUCUCCAUCCCAGAAUUGCAUUUGUCUGCUUCCUUUUGAUA